CCUACGGGAGGCAGCAGUGGGGAAUAUUGGACAAUGGGCGAAAGCCUGAUCCAGCCAUGCCGCGUGUGUGAAGAAGGCCUUCGGGUUGUAAAGCACUUUCAGUGGGGAAGAAAGCCUUGGGGCUAAUACCCUCGAGGAAGGACAUUACCCACAGAAGAAGCACCGGCUAACUCCGUGCCAGCAGCCGCGGUAAUACGGAGGGUGCGAGCGUUAAUCGGAAUUACUGGGCGUAAAGCGCGCGUAGGCGGUCUGAUAAGCCGGUUGUGAAAGCCCCGGGCUCAACCUGGGAACGGCAUCCGGAACUGUCAGGCUAGAGUGCAGGAGAGGAAGGUAGAAUUCCCGGUGUAGCGGUGAAAUGCGUAGAGAUCGGGAGGAAUACCAGUGGCGAAGGCAGCCUUCUGAACUGACACUGACGCUGAGGUGCGAAAGCGUGGGUAGCAAACAGGAUUAGAUACCCCUGUAGUC
rnacentral:rRNA from 1 species